rnacentral:lncRNA from 1 species
CCAGCUUUCUCCAGUGGUGAAUAAAUCAGCAGGGCCAGCCAGGUGGUUCCUUUAAUAAAAGGCUUAGAGAGACCCCGUGUCCUGAUCUUUUCCAAAUUCCUGGAGUUUCCCAAGAUCUCCAGAGGGAGACAGUCACUUCAGCAUCAGCCAGAACGGACACCAGGCAAGAAGAAUCAUAAAUUAACAGCAGGAAGGCAGUCUUGGGGCUGAUGGGGGAACACCAUUGUGUAUGCAUGCAUGCACAUGUGUGUGUCUGU